GCAGUGCUCUGGCAGGGGAGAUAACCAUAAUCAUGAAGGUGGUUUUCCUAGGGCAAGGAUUAUCCAUUGCACUUGGGAUGUGCGGGCCCCUACAAUUUCCCCAAGUGGGAAACUUGACUACAUAAUUUAGUGGGGGACUGCAUUCGUGAUCUCCUCUA
ensembl:snRNA U1 U1 spliceosomal RNA